rnacentral:rRNA from 1 species
AGCAGCCGCCGCGGUAAUACAGAGGGUGCAAGCGUUAAUCGGAAUUACUGGGCGUAAAGCGUGCGUAGGCGGCUUCUUAAGUCGGAUGUGAAAUCCCUGAGCUUAACUUAGGAAUUGCAUUCGAUACUGGGAAGCUAGAGUAUGGGAGAGGAUGGUAGAAUUCCAGGUGUAGCGGUGAAAUGCGUAGAGAUCUGGAGGAAUACCGAUGGCGAAGGCAGCCAUCUGGCCUAAUACUGACGCUGAGGUACGAAAGCAUGGGGAGCAAACAGGAUUAGAUACCCGGGUAGUCCCUGUCUCUUAUAC